rnacentral:lncRNA from 1 species
UUCCUCAGGCCGGAGCUGACCUGCAAAGCCUUCGCGGUGCUCCCGGUGCUCCUGGUGCUGGGGAUCGGGAUGCCAGGCCCGGCCGAGUGGGACUGGAGCCGGGGCAUUUAGAACAGAGAAAACUAAGUAGGUUUGCGCGGGCCCACGGGCAUGCGCGUCUGCUUCCGUGGGUCUGGGCGUGCACGUGUAUGUGGUUGAGAGCGUGUUUGUAAUUUGCUGCAUACGUGUUAGGUGCAAAUCUACAGGAAGAGGCUUGAGUGUCUCCUUGGCCUGAAAUGCACCCGCCUCUCUUUUCCAUCUCUAGGUCGGGGACCUCCCAGAAAUCUGGAAACUGGAAGCGAGGAACAGGCACAUGUGUAGAAAGCAGUGCUGGUUUAAGAAGCAAGGCAGACCCAGGCGUGGUUGCUCAUGAGAAAUCCUCGCACUUGUGAGGCAGAGGCAGGUAGAUCUGUAGUGCAGAAAAAAGAGACUGUGGUUGGUUUUUAGCUACUUUCUGUCAGGGAAGAAGAAAGUACAGUCCAGUCACUUCACUAACCGGGAGGAAACAAGCUAACUCUUGCAGGCCUUUGCAACUUAAGAGCUCAGUACGGUUGUCCUUGGUCUGUUUGUUGUUACUGAUUGGUUGAGACAGGAUCUCUAACUCUGGCUAGCCAGGAACUCAUGAUAUAGGCCUGGCUGACCUUGAACUUGUCAUGAUCCUAUAGCUUCUGUCUCCAUUUUGGUCCUUAAACACUUCCUUGCCCUUCGGUGGAUACCUUAUAAUCCUCAGCUAUAUGCACUGUAUUAACUGGCCUGGAUGCGCACACAGGGGAAUUCAGAGGUAUCUUUGGACACUUUGUAUAUUUUAUUAAUAUUGCUUCUCUCUUAGGUGUACAAAUGAGACUUAAAGCAAAAUUAGUCCAGUAAAAGAACGGGUGCCCUACAAGAAUGUAGGGUGGUCAGGUUGGCUGGGAUGCAUUUAAGGGGUCCUCUCUGAAGAAGGCAUUUUAGAGUGGGAGUCUAAAGAUGGAGAACUUGAGUAGGACCCAGGCAGGAAUAAAGACAAGUGAUUGGCAAGAAGCUAAUUACCAGAGUGGGAUAGCAAGCAAAUCCUCUUUUGUAGGGGGGGGGGGGCAAUGCAAGAGGUUUUAUCUGGAAAACAGAAUGAGCAUUUAUAUAAGGGAGUCAUUUUGGAUUAAACAACAACAACAGAAGAAGAAGAAGAAGAAGAAGAACAACAACAACAACAACAACAACAACAACAACAACAACAACCACCACCACCACCACCACCUCCGGUCUCGCUGUGCAAUUCAGGCAGACUUCCAACGCUCUGCCCCCCAGUGUCAGGACACAGGUGUCAUGUACUGGGUGUCAGGACCGCAGGUGUGCCACCAGGCCUAGAGCAUGCAUGCACACACCAAGCAUGCACUCUGGUGCCGAGCCAAAUCCACAGCCUUCCACUCCCUCUUCAUCUUGUUUCUUGAUGUUCUUUGAGGGUGCCUUUGGACACUACAGGACUGAUUAAUCCUUGGCCAGUCAUCCCGUAUUUACGGAAUAGGGAUUAAUGUGCUGACCCCGGGGGGAUAACAAUAAUUAGACACAAUCUCCCCUCAAAGGGUUUUGAAGCCCAACACAAAUGAUGUAUCUGCGGUUCUUGCGUCUUGGGAUGGAAAUCUUAAGUCCGUCAGGUAUUUCUAACUAUUUUAAAUGUUUUGCAGGUGACUGAAUUUUUGGAAGCAAAUGACAUCUAGAUUGGUUGGGUUUUUGUUUUGUUUUGUUUUGUUUGUUUGUUUGGUUGGUUGGUUGAUCGAGACUGAGUGUACUGGAAUUCUCUCUAGACCAUGCUGGCCUCGAACUCAGAGAUCUACCUGCCUUUGCCUCUCUCCCAAGUGCUGGGAUUAAAGGCAACCACCGACCGGCUUUACCCUUUGAUUCUUUGACGUGACUGAACUUGCUUCUAUGGGUGCUUUUAUUCUUUUAUUUUUAUUUGUUUAUUUUUUGCUUAUUACUGUGAAUGUGUAUAUUCUUCUCAAUUUUUUCCUUAUAUUUAUCUGUUUAUUGUAACGGAGUUGCACAUGCCAUUGUGUUUCAGAUCAAGCAUGUGUGGCUAUGAGGGCGCUUUCAGGAGUUAGUUCUCUUUGAGUUCUGGGGCUCAGACUCGGGCUAUUAGGCUUGGUGGCUUGCUGAGCUGGCUUGUCUGCCCUAGUUUGUUUUUUGAGCUAGAAUCUCACUGUGUAGCUCAGGCUAGCCCUGGAGCCACUGCCCCACCUCCUGAGCACUGCAGUUGUCUACUCUU